GACGAACGCUGGCGGCGUGCCUAAUACAUGCAAGUCGAACGAGUGGCGGACGGGUGAGUAAUAUAUCGGAACGUGCCCAGUAGCGGGGGAUAACUACUCGAAAGAGUGGCUAAUACCGCAUACCAUCGGAGCGGCCGAUAUCGGAUUAGCUAGUUGGUGGGGUAAAGGCUCACCAAGGCAACGAUCCGUAGCUGGUUUGAGAGGACGACCAGCCACACUGGGACUGAGACACGGCCCAGACUCCUACGGGAGGCAGCAGUGGGGAAUUUUGGACAAUGGGGGAAACCCUGAUCCAGCCAUCCCGCGUGUAUGAGAAGGCCUUCGGGUUGUAAAGUACUUUUGGCAGGGAAGCGGUAUCUGCAGAAUAAGCACCGGCUAACUACGUGCCAGCAGCCGCGGUAAUAC
rnacentral:rRNA from 1 species